GGCCGCUGUGGCCUAAUGGUUUGAGCGCUGGACUAGGACUCUGGAGCUGGCGGGUUCGAUCCCCUGCUCGGCCA